rnacentral:snRNA from 2 species
AUCGCUUCUCAGCCUUUUGGCUAAGAUCAAGUGUAGUAUCAAAUGUAGUUUCUGUUCUCCUCUCUCCUCUCCUUCUUCUGGACUCCAGAUAUGCAUACAUUAUGCAUACCAUUUGGUAUAUUUCCACAGGUAAUUGACUCUUU